UACGGAGGGUGCAAGCGUUAUCCGGAUUCACUGGGUUUAAAGGGUGCGUAGGCGGGCUAGUAAGUCUGUUGUGAAAUCUCCGGGCUUAACCCGGAAAUUGCGGUGGAUACUAUUAGUCUUGAAUAUUGUGGAGGUUAGCGGAAUAUGUCAUGUAGCGGUGAAAUGCUUAGAUAUGACAUAGAACACCAAUUGCGAAGGCAGCUGGCUACAGGGAUAUUGACACUGAGGCACGAAAGCGUGGGGAUCAAACAGG
rnacentral:rRNA from 1 species